rnacentral:rRNA from 1 species
GACGUAGGGGACGAGCGUUGUCCGGAUUUAUUGGGCGUAAAGAGCUCGUAGGCGGCUUGUCGCGUCGUCCGUGAAAACCCACAGCUCAACUGUGGGCUUGCGGUCGAUACGGGCAGGCUAGAGUUCGGUAGGGGAGACUGGAAUUCCUGGUGUAGCGGUGAAAUGCGCAGAUAUCAGGAGGAACACCGGUGGCGAAGGCGGGUCUCUGGGCCGAUACUGACGCUGAGGAGCGAAAGCGUGGGGAGCGAACAGG